GCUCAAAGUUGGAACCUGUUUGGCUUAGCUAAACCGGAUUGUAAACUGUAGAAGUGUUUUCCUGGCACGCCAGAUAAAUAAGUCCUUUGGAACAGGGCAUCAUAGAGGGUGAGAAUCCCGUCUUUGGUCUGAGCCGUUGUCUUUUGUGAUACACUUUCAAAGAGUCAGGUUGUUUGGGAAUGCAGCCUAAAUUGGGUGGUAAAUCUCACCUAAAGCUAAAUAUUUGCGAGAGACCGAUAGCGAACAAGUACCGUGAGGGAAAGAUGAAAAGAACUUUGAAAAGAGAGUUAAACAGUAUGUGAAAUUGUUAAAAGGGAACCGUUUGGAGCCAGACUGGUUUGGCUGUAAUCAAUCUAGAUUCUUCUGGAUGCACUUGCAGUCUAUACCUGCCAAUAACAAUUUGGCUUGAGGGAAAAAACUAGGUGGAAUGUGGCCCUUCGGGGUGUUAUAGCUGCUUAGAAAAUACCUUGGGCUGGAUUGAGGAUCGCAGUGAAUGCCUUUAGGCGAGUUUGCUGAGCGCUUCCGCUGAUAUAUGCUAGAAUUUCUGCUU
rnacentral:rRNA from 1 species